CAGGCAAGUUAGGUCACUUCAGAGAAAUGUGGCAAGGAUUAACAGAGGUGAUACAGUUCCUGGCACAGUGCCUGACACCUACUCAGUGGGGUGGCAGUGGAAUGGAGCAGCAAUGAAGAGAACACUGAAACAGGCUGGGCACUCCCAUCCACCAUGAUCUCUGCCAGAUCAUCUUCCAAGGCACGUAUACAAGAGAAAGGCCUGUGCCCAGGAUCUGCCUCCCCCCGUGAAACCGCCCAAGGAUACACAGAGCUAUCUGUUCCUGCUAGAAUUCUGGUCCGUGAGAAAACACUGGCAUGGGCUGACACAAGGAGUCAGUGCUUAAAGCUGCACUCCUCUCGAACUUCUUGUUGGGGGAAACAGAAAGAAUAGUCCUUUGGCCUCCACUCACCUGGAACAGAUCAAAUGACAUCACAAUUCCAUCCCUCCAUCGCAAUGCAGCAGGUUAUCCUGAAAAUAAAAGACAUCCAAACUCA